rnacentral:rRNA from 1 species
GAUGAACGCUAGCGGCAGGCUUAACACAUGCAAGUCGAGGGGCAGCAUGAGGGUUAGCAAUAACCCUUGAUGGCGACCGGCGCAAGGGUGCGUAACGCGUGAGCAACUUGCCCGUUUCAGGGGGAUAACCGGUGGAAACGCCGACUAAUACCCCAUAGUAUUGGUUUGAGGCAUCUCUUACCAAUUAAAGAAGUUCGGAAACGGAUAGGCUCGCGUGACAUUAGCUAGAUGGCGGGGUAACGGCCCACCAUGGCGACGAUGUCUAGGGGUUCUGAGAGGAAGGUCCCCCACACUGGAACUGAGACACGGUCCAGACACCUACGGGAGGCAGCAGGGAGGAAUAUUGGUCAAUGGUCGAGAGACUGAACCAGCCAUGCCGCGUGAAGGUCACGGCCCUAUGGGUCUUAAACUUCUUUUGUAAGGGAGCAAUAAGGUCUACGUGUAGACUGAUGAGAGUACCUUACGAAUAAGCAUCGGCUAACUCCGUGCCAGCCGCCGCGGUAAUAC